GUUUGAUGAGUUUACUUUUUUCUUUUAGGAAACAUAAAAACAGUGGCUCACAGCCAUUGUGGUCAAUGGGUCAGAGAGUUUUCACUAAGGGGAAUGUGAGUGCCUACUUCAUAAUGUUGCUGUGAGGAUUAAAGGAGUCAAUACAUGGAAAGUGCUCAGAAAAGUGCCUGGCACAGGGGCUUGCCAGACCACAGGAGACCAAGUAUAUGAAAGAGCUUUGGAAAACACAAAGUGCUGUUCAGCUCCUUAAGGCAGCACUAUGGCAGAAACAGUUACUCCAUAUUAGGGAUUUGGGAUUUUGGUUACCCUGGAGGGUCACUUAAGACGUUUUGAACUCCCCAUUGCUAUUGAGUGAAGAGUGCCACACAUUACAACGGGGCCAAUGUGGGCUUCCUUUAUAAACAGUGAGGAUUCCAAAGCAAUCCCGAAGGGAGGAGGGUAAGCUGCCCUGAAGCAUGGGCUCCAGGCGCCAGGAGAAACGGAGCUGUCUCCCUGCUUUUGGAUGCCAAGACAUCAACACUUAAAGCAGCCACAGGGCAAGUUUGAUUCUGAACCAGCAAAGCAGAGAAAGAACUCAAUUGAGAUGCCCUGCCCUGUAGGCUAGCUUCCUGCUGACGUGAAUGAGAACUUCACACUGGUAAGGAGCUGAGGACUGGCUCGUAAAUUUUAAGUAUCCCUUGGGUUUUCUUAUGAGCGAAUCUGCUGUCCUUUUGGCCUUGGAAGCAGAAUUAGAGGCCUUCUAGUCAGACCUAAGUGAUGGGCAGAAAAAAAAUGGAAAACUGUUUCUGAACACCAGCAAAAUAGCUCUUUCUGAGUCUACAAAGCAACUUCUAGGACUCUAAAGUGAGGCUCUCCCCUACCCUCAUGGCAUAACUCUCAGGAACUAUAAGCACUGAUUAAUUUAGCCCCUUCACUUGCCUCUCAUUAAUGGCAAAUAUCAGACUGCCUUUGUGGGUAGAACACUCAAGAACAUUUUCUUGAAACAAUGAGAGAAAAAUGCAGGGCCUUUCCAUCCCUGCAUUCUUCCAUAACCCCCAUUUUUCACUUGGGUGAGGUUGAGUGGGUUUCUUUCCUUAGGUGACUCAGACACUACCUGUGUGGUUGUCGGUGCACACACAUGGGUGAUUGUGCUGAAGCUACCUGGACUGGAGACAAGAAUGUGUGUCUUGCUAACCCGUGGAUGAUAAUUAAAUUCAUGGAAGCAGCAGCAAUGACCCAGGAGCACGUAUAGCUGGAGAAGAAGCUCCCGAAUGUGUAAGCUGUCCUUGCCCAUAGUCCUGGAUGUUCCUCUGACCCUAUCCCUUCCCACAACUCUGCUAGAGUCACAUCUAAUGGAACCAGAAGUGUUUCAAUCUGAGGAACCCCAUUUGUAUGCUGACCAGUAGCCUGCCAAAGAAAAAAGACUUGAACCAUGUGAAUUUUUUUUCUUCGGAGUUUAGAAAUCCUUGUGGGUUUCCCAAGUGGAAAGAGGAGCGAAAAUGUCUAAUCCUUGAUGCCUGUAGCUGCCAUUUUGGGACAUAUGCAAUCUGGAGAGUAAAUAGAUUGGCCUGGUCAACAGAGCUUCUAGGUACACGGAGAGCUGACUUCCUGACUCGUUUGUACAUGAAUGAAAUCACAUGACUAGUUCUAGCCAAUGAGUAAAGAGCAAACACGAAGAGCAGGAAGUUACUUCCUUGACAGCUCAUUCAUUUGCUGAGGCAAGACUCUGGAAACUGUUUGCCCUCUGGCAUGGCAACCAGUCCGGCUCAAGAUGGUGGGCAUUCCCUCAGUCCCUGAGGUCAUGUUUUAGGAAAAUGAAGCUGAACACAGUAUGAUGGGCAGUUUGGAGACUGG
rnacentral:lncRNA from 1 species